rnacentral:lncRNA from 1 species
CCUUACUCACUGUAGCUGUAUAGACAGUGGGGUCAAGCAAGUGGCUCGUUGGAGCUCCGAAGUGAUGGCGGCCAUGGAGACCCGGGGUCACCUUCCUAUCCUAUUCUGUUGGGUACAUUUAUGACUUCGAAAAUUCUAAUUUCCACCCUGCUCCCAGAUCUCCCCGCUGCCUGCCACACCCCGCCACCUCUGACCCUGGGGGCUAGCUCUUAACGGCCCCUCUUAGGGGGCACUUCUGUUACAAGAUUGGUCCGUUUCUUAGUUGACUCCAGCCCUGGAAUAGGCUUUUCAUCGUUCUCACUCUAGCUCAACCUUUAGAAGUUCAAGUUUGACUGUUUUUCUAGGAAGUAAAAGAGCUAUUUUUCCUUCAAGGCCUAUGAUUUCUAUGAUUCUGUAAUUGAGCUCCAAAGGCUGCUUUGAAUUUGACCUCAAGUGCAAUUCAUGAAGACAACUUUGACAAUACCAGUUUCCCUUUGGGCAAGAAUACUCCCCCUGGAAAUUCAGAAAGUGUCCUAUUGAGUAAAAUCCUUCUUAAUUUACUGUAAAAAGUGUGUUUAGAAAAGCAAAUAAUCUAUGACAGAGCAUAGAACUGUCCACUAUUAUGAAAUCCAAUAAAGAAUAAGAAGGAAACUGAGCCCUCCA